GACGAACGCUGGCGGCGUGCUUAACACAUGCAAGUCGAACGGAAAGGCCCUGCUUUUGUGGGGUGCUCGAGUGGCGAACGGGUGAGUAACACGUGAGUAACCUGCCCUUGACUUUGGGAUAACUUCAGGAAACUGGGGCUAAUACCGGAUAGGAGCUCCUGCUGCAUGGUGGGGGUUGGAAAGUUUCGGCGGUUGGGGAUGGACUCGCGGCUUAUCAGCUUGUUGGUGGGGUAGUGGCUUACCAAGGCUUUGACGGGUAGCCGGCCUGAGAGGGUGACCGGCCACAUUGGGACUGAGAUACGGCCCAGACUCCUACGGGAGGCAGCAGUGGGGAAUAUUGCACAAUGGGCGGAAGCCUGAUGCAGCAACGCCGCGUGCGGGAUGACGGCCUUCGGGUUGUAAACCGCUUUCGCCUGUGACGAAGCGUGAGUGACGGUAAUGGGUAAAGAAGCACCGGCUAGCUACGUG
rnacentral:rRNA from 1 species